AUCUGCACGGUAGCUUUGCGGUAUAAAAUGAGCUACUGAACUGUCCGAGGUUCAAUGGGGUCUCUUCAGAUUUUAACCCGAGCCCGUUAAGCGGGGCCGGUCCCAAUAACUUUAGACACGUUUGCACAGUUGGACCUGUGGGAAGGAAGCGGAGCAGCACCGCGGAAGGAAUUCCUAAAGUGUUGAGCGUCUGCGGCGAAACACUGAGGGAGAAGGAUGUGGUGCACUGUAAUUGCCCUUUCAACGUGAGACAGGGCUUAGCUCACGGACCUUGGUUUACGAUGCCUUGCCUUUGUUAGAGAGGUGAAAAGGAAGAGAAUGCAUCACUGCUUUACAUCGUAACUGAAGCGAAUCUGCACGUCCAGUCCACUGAGGAGACAGCUCUGUUUUCCUCAGCAUCACUGCAGACAUACCAGGAAGUCUAAAAUACUUUGGGAAGUAAAAUUUUGAGCAGUUAUUUUAUAUAUGUCAUAUCCAGUGGUUCACCUUGCUGCCCUGAGGCCACUUCCGUAUGACAACUAAACUGCUGAGCGCUUAUUUAGCCUAAUACUGGCUGCCACUGCUAAUUCCCUAGCCUGUGGGAUCCAAUACUUUGUGUUUCAUAGAGCUGAAAGACCCUAUUUUAGAAAAUAGUGUUUGUAUCGAAAACUGAUGCCAGUGCAUCACCACUCCUUCAGAGAAGGACUUGACGAACUCUCGCUUUUAGUGUUUCAUUGAAUGUUUGGCUCAGUUUCCUUCUGACGAGCAAGGAUUUUUGCAUGGGUGUAGUUUUACUUUCUAAAAUAACAAAUGUCUGUCUGUUCGGUGAUGUGCGUGCAUCAGAAGACAGGGUAAAAUAAACAGGCUGAAGGGCUUUGAUUUGCAGCACGGUUAAGCAGUGCAGGUAGAGCUGUGUUUCUUUUGGAUCAGCUGCUUUGCUUCGCCUUUGCAGUGCACUUCAUAAAUGCUGCAGACGGGUUUUUCAGAGCUUAUAAACUUAGCAGAAAUAAAAAGAACUAAGGGGCCUGACAGCUGAGAGAACUUUAUAAGUGCCACUGAAAGCCAGUAGGUCCCCAGCUCCUGGGGAGUAUAUCAGAGCCCUUGCAGGGUUUAUAAAUUCUGCUUAUUUACUGGCAGGUUUCCAUCCUGGUCAUAAAAGCCAUAGGUCAAAAAGCUCUGUUAGAUGGGGAACACGAAACCCAGCUUUCAUUUAACUCCAGCUUCUUGCACAAGGCUGUGUAGCUCAUCAGUGCAACUGUGGUGUACAGCCCUAAAUGUCACUGGGAACCCAACUGAGGACAAGUGUCCAUAGCUCCUGGCUUUGUGUAGAGCAGAUCCCUGAAGAAGUGAGCUCCUGUUCAGGCUCUAUUUAUAUCAAUCUUUGCUCUUUACAAUAGGGGAAACCCUAAAGGUUUGCUCAGGUGGGGCUUUGUCCCAGUUCAUCUUAACCCACCUCCAGGGCUGCUCCGAGCCCCUGCGGUGUGAAUCGAUCUGCUGUUUCUUUUCUCCUUCAUGCACCCAUCUCCAUCUCAGAAAAUCUGGGCUCAUGAAUAGACCAAUUUGUCCACAGGAGCCCAAGCAGCUCCUCCCCUGCUCCACAUCCCUCAGCACUGCUAUGGGCAGGAAGAGGAGGAAUCACCAGAUCACAUCAGGUUCCUUCUAAGUAUCGCAGUCCUGGCUCAGCUCCACCCCAGCUGACAAGCUGCUUUAAUGGAUAGGCAGUGGCCUUCAGUGGAGGGGCUAAAUGUAAAACUUUCCUCUGCUUCUCUUGUCAAAGUUAAAAGCUUUUCAUGCCUGUGUUAAUGUUUCCUUUUUUUUUUUUUCCCUCCUGUCUGCUGGCACCAAUGACAAAUACUACAUCUUGCAUUGAGUAACAGUAUAUUGAAUGGCUGGCAGAGGCAGAAUACGGCACCUGUAAUUUAUCUCCGGGAGUUUGGGUUGGAUGACACUGCUGGGAACAGACCGGGGCUCUGAGCUGUCACCUGAUUACUAAUUCUAGGAUUUCUCCUCCGAGAGUGAGAAGGAGUGAGCUAGGAUGAAGGGUACAAAAAGCAAAUCAAUAAACAGUGAUUUUUCUGGGAGAAAAGCAACGCCAUCAUACUCUGUGCACUUCAUCUUUAUCUGACCAUCUGACAUUGCACAGUACCUGCUGGCUGCCGCCAAGCUUCGUCCUGGAGCUCAGUGGUCCAACACAGAACGAAGGCUGCGAAAUCAAUUUUCUGCUUCCCAUCUCUAUUCCAUCCCAUCACCAGGGAUAUGCAUCACAGGACAUUUUUGUUGUCACUUGCAC
ensembl:lncRNA